CACGUAGGGGGCAAGCGUUGUCCGGAUUUAUUGGGCGUAAAGAGCUCGUAGGCGGCUCAGUUAGUCGGGUGUGAAACCCCCGGGCUCAACCCGGGGACGCCACCCGAUACUGCUGUGGCUAGAGUCCGGUAGGGGAGCGUGGAAUUCCUGGUGUAGCGGUGAAAUGCGCAGAUAUCAGGAGGAACACCGAUGGCGAAGGCAGGUCUCUGGGCAUUAACUGACGCUGAGGAGCGAAAGCAUGGGGAGCGAACAGG
rnacentral:rRNA from 1 species